UACAGAGGGUGCAAGCGUUAAUCGGAAUUACUGGGCGUAAAGGGUGCGUAGGUUGGUUUGAUAAGUUGGGUGUGAAAGUCCUGGGCUUAACCUAGGGAUUGCGCUCAAUACUGUCAAGCUAGAGUACUGUAGAGGAAGGUGGAAUUUCCAGUGUAGCGGUGAAAUGCGUAGAUAUUGGAAGGAACAUCAGUGGCGAAAGGCGACUUUCUGGACAGAUACUGACACUGAGGCACGAAAGCGUGGGGAGCAAACAGG
rnacentral:rRNA from 1 species